UGCGCCGCCGCACAAAGAGAGACGACAAUGUCAACAGCGGACUGGAGUGGAUCGCCAUCUCCACCCAUGCCGCGACGCCCACUCAGCGGUGUGUACGCCCACUCAUCUCCACAGCAUUCGCCCACGAUCACAGGAUUCGGCGUGGUGACCACACCACAUCCACGGCGGCAGCCUGCCCCUCCUCAAAUGCGUCACUGGAGGAUGGUGAACUCCCUCCUGCCCCUCCCCUCCCGAAAGGUGCGCUUGCACCGGAAACUAAUCGGAUCGAAGGCGGGGCACCUAAUUGCGAAGUGGAGCCGCCCAGAUCGCCGUCGUUCUAGACUAAGCCUCCAAAUAUUGCAGAUGGUGGUGGCCGGCGCCGUUUCCUCCAUCUAUUCAAUAUCGUGCACUUCGUCCCCAACCUCGCGCCAACAGAGAAACGAUCUUGGGGUUGCUGUGCAUGAGAGUAUCUCGUGGGUACUGAGGCAAACUUCGCAAAAAGGCUCUGUCGAAGGGGGGAGAGUGCAACUAGCCUUAAUAUUGGAAUACCAGCAAUCCUCCUCUGUCACCUCAGGUACUAUGUCUAAUCGAGUAACAGCGUGGACGGCCAGAACUAAUCCCUCCUCCACAACAGCGUGAUAUCCCACCCCUCCGGUGGCCAGGACCCAAACCCCAGGAAAAAAAAACUAGGAUACUGUACUUUUUCAGACGGAGCUUGCUUAGGAUACCAAUAUCAAACACUACAGAGUGGCUUGCAUACAAUUCUUCAGUCGUGCAGCUACUAUGAGCUGGGCAUGGACACCACUUGUCUUAUGCCACGCAUGCAAAAGCGGGAUGGAUGUUUAUACAACUUACUCAAUCUGAUGAUCAGAAUCCCUUAUUCAGAUUCCAAUAGCAAGCUGGUAGUCUAUUAUCCACUGAAGUUAGUGACCCGGGCAGGUGGGCAGAUCCUUUAUCCAUGAGCAGUUGGGCAGAUCUUUGUCCACUCCACUCUCAGUUUGUUAUUGUCCUUCUGUGUGAGGUUAUAUAUGUUGCGACAGUUACUAAUUUGAGCCAUGUGUAUAUGGAAUUUAUUUUGAGGGGUCCUGUGUUUGACUUGAAACAUUAAAUUAUGUCUCCGAUAAGCCUCCUCAGUAAGACAGAAGGCUCCCAACCGAUGAAACAAACCAUACUUGGCCAGGUUACCUUGAAGGUCAGCCUCGUCAUAUUUGAUCAUGACAGCCAUGCCAAGUUUCAUGGAGGUGUGAUCAUAAAACGGAUAGAUGGGAGAAGCCCUAUUGCUACCGGACUGAGGACAAACACGUGUACCACGAUGCACACGAUGCGUUGUACAAAGGAUGCCUGACAGAAGUCCGAGGCAUGGUGUACCUGCCGCGAGGAGAUCGACAACGGCAUUCCAACCAUAAGCCGCCGACAAGGGCAUGUAGUAUCUAUCUCCCCACCUCUUAUUGCUUGAUUAUUGCUUGAUUACUUCA